CCGGACGCCAGAUCGGGUCCGGCGACUGAACUGGGCGCCGGACCGGUGUCCUGCGCUCCUUCGUAUCCAUCUUGCUCUUUGGAGGACUUGGUUAUGAGGA
rnacentral:sRNA from 1 species